rnacentral:rRNA from 1 species
GAUGAACGCUAGCGGGAGGCCUAACACAUGCAAGUCGAACGGGAUUGGGAGCUUGCUCCCAUGAGAGUGGCGCACGGGUGAGUAACGCGUAUGCAACCUACCUUUAACUGAGGGAUAGCCCAUAGAAAUGUGGAUUAAUACCUCAUAGUUCUAUUAGAUCGCAUGAUUUGAUAGAUAAAGCUCCGGCGGUUAAAGAUGGGCAUGCGUGACAUUAGUUUGUUGGUGAGGUAACGGCUCACCAAGACUACGAUGUCUAGGGGUUCUGAGAGGAUGAUCCCCCACACUGGUACUGAGACACGGACCAGACUCCUACGGGAGGCAGCAGUGAGGAAUAUUGGUCAAUGGGUGCAAGCCUGAACCAGCCAUCCCGCGUGAAGGAUGAAGGCCCUAUGGGUCGUAAACUUCUUUUAUACACCAAGAAAAACACCCACGUGUGGGUGCCCGACGGUAGUGUAUGAAUAAGCAUCGGCUAACU